rnacentral:rRNA from 1 species
UACGUAGGGACCAAGCGUUGUUCGGAUUUACUGGGCGUAAAGGGCGCGUAGGCGGCGUGACAAGUCACUUGUGAAAUCUCUGGGCUUAACCCAGAACGGCCAAGUGAAACUGUUGUGCUAGAGUGCAGAAGGGGCAAUCGGAAUUCUCGGUGGUAGCGGUGAAAUGCGUAGAUAUCGAGAGGAACACCAGAGGUGAAGACGGGUUGCUGGGCUGACACUGACGCUGGAGGCGCGAAAGCCAGGGGAGCAAACGGG